rnacentral:rRNA from 1 species
UCGAGAAUUUUUCUCAAUGGGGGAAACCCUGAAGGAGCGACGCCGCGUGGAGGAUGAAGGUCUUCGGAUUGUAAACUCCUGUCAUUUGGGAACAAUUGUCAUCCGUUAACUGCGGGUGGCUUGAUAGUACCAGAAGAGGAAGAGACGGCUAACUCUGUGCCAGCAGCCGCGGUAAUACAGAGGUCUCAAGCGUUGUUCGGAUUCAUUGGGCGUAAAGGGUGCGUAGGUGGCGCCAUAAGUCAGGUGUGAAAUCUCGGAGCUCAACUCCGAAACUGCACUUGAUACUGUGGUGCUUGAGUACUGGAGAGGAGAUUGGAAUUUACGGUGUAGCAGUGAAAUGCGUAGAUAUCGUAAGGAAGACCAGUGGCGAAGGCGAAUCUCUGGACAGUUACUGACACUGAGGCACGAAGGCCAGGGGAGCAAACG